rnacentral:rRNA from 1 species
CGUAGGUGGCAAGCGUUGUCCGGAAUUAUUGGGCGUAAAGCGCGCGCAGGCGGGAACUUAAGUCUAUCUUAAAAGUUCGGGGCUCAACCCCGUGAUGGGGUAGAAACUGGGUUUCUUGAGUAUCGGAGAGGAAAGUGGAAUUCCCAGUGUAGCGGUGAAAUGCGUAGAUAUUGGGAGGAACACCAGUGGCGAAGGCGACUUUCUGGACGAUGUCUGACGCUGAGGCGCGAAAGCCAGGGAAGUGAACGGGAUUAGAUACCCCGGUAAUCCUGGCCGUAAACGAUGGGUACUAGGUGUAGAGGGUAUCGACCCCUUCUGUGCCGGAGUUAACGCAAUAAGUACCCCGCCUGGGGAGUACGGCCGCAAGGUUG